rnacentral:rRNA from 1 species
AUGGGCAAGCACAUUGGUAUUGAUCUUGUUGGAGGAAACACCUCUGAAGAUGGCAAGUAUGUUGUUCCUCUGUGCAAACUUAGUGGCCCAGAUGGUUCCCGUGUCAAGUCUCUUUAUAGGGCUAAUGUCUGUCUAAAGCCGCCCCCUAGCUUCCGUGGCAUCGCAAACCUUAAGAAACUCAGCCUACAUUACGUGUCCAUCGACGCAGGCGAUCUCCAAUGUCUAUUGCUAAGCUGUGCUCUUCUCGAGAGUUUAAGCUUGGAGCGCUGCCCCUUGCCAAGUCUUAGCAUAUAUCAUGAGCUGAGGCAGUUGCAGUACCUAAGCGUGCGCAGGUGUGCAGUGGGAACGAUACAGUUGCAAGCUCCGAACCUUACCACAUUUGAGUUUGUUGAUUGUCUGACGCCAAUUGCGCUUGAUGAAUCUUUCAAGUUGUCAGAAGCAACCUUUGUGCUCAGGAGCAAAUCGUUCACUUGGUGUUGUGAUGCUACGGACUACAUCUUGAUGGAGCUUCCAACUAUUUUUCCUCAUGUGCAUAAACUCUCUCUGCAUUUUGUUGUUUUUCAGGUGCAUCGAUUCAGUAAAAGCAACACCACUUUUCUCAAUCUGCGACAUCUGAACUUGAACAUUAGCAUCAUGUCCAGUCCAGAGGAUACUAGCUGGGUGACGAGGUUUGUAUACCUGUUGGAAUUAGCGCCUCUAUUACAAGAAUUGGAACUCCACAUAAAGUGUGAUAGAUUUCGCGUCCCUUCUGCGAGGAUAGUGACGGUUGUUCCAGGGCCUCGACAUCGUCACCUCAGGAGUGUUCACAUUACUGGCUUUUGGGAUUUGGUGGGGAUAGCCGAGCUAGCGCUUUACAUCCUUGAGAAUGCUACUGUGCUCGAGCGUAUGGUUGUAGAUCCAGUGAUAUGGAUGGACAAAGGAGAUCUAUAUGAAGGUCAAUUAUAUUCAAUCAACAAGGACAGUAACUGCCAGGAGCUUAUUUGACCUAAGCUUGCCAAGGAGGGGCUGCUGCAGCACAAGAAGUUUGCCGAGAAACACCUUAGUAGAGAUGAGUUUCGUCACAUCAUAACCAUUUUAUGA